CGUUUCGCGCGCGUUCGGCGUUCGGUUUGCGCGGCAAGUGCGGCAUCUUUGUCGUGGCUUUCUAACGGUUAUUGAAAAUAUUGCGAUAUUGUAUUCAAGACAGUGCAUGUCUAGCUGGUCUAGCGUCAUAAUGGACCUUCAGACUUCUUUCUACGGGCGUCGCAUCCGCCCGAAGGACUUUGGUGCUGAAUGGGUCUCGACCUCCACACAAAUUCGUGGUAUUCAACCCUUUCCCGAGCCGGCAUCGAAGAUUCUGGUUAACUCCAGGAAUUUGCCGUCUUGUAGGGUGGUCUUGAACAGGUGGACACCGCCAAAACUUCAGGAUGCGGAAGCAAGUAGUGGUGCCAAAAAGCCGGCGGAGUCUCCUACCAAGGGCAUUAAACGAAAGUUCACCGUCCUCACUGAAAACGAUGAGCCAGAAAAUGAUGACAAGGGAAUGGCCUACCGCGCCAAAAUACAGAAGAACAUUGCCGAGAAAAUGGCCUUCCUGGAAUCUCUCGGGAUCGACAAGUUCGAGCUUCGUUCUCCGCCCAAGAGGCCAGCCACAAGAAAACCUGCCUCAGCAAAGCCCUUGCCGACUGAGCGGAGGAAGAGCCAACGGCUUCAGAACAAGGGCCCUGAGGUUCUGCCAAAGAAGGAAGAGGAGCAGGUGCCGGAGGUUGUGAAGCGAGAAGGUCCCUUCGACAUUGGUGCAGUUUUCGUGAGUGGAAGCCCAGACAGUGAAAAAUGCUUCCUCACUGAGCCUGCCAUGAGGGAAAUGCUGUCUGAGGUUUCGUUCCAGAACAAGCCGAGAGAUUCCCAAGGGUGCCUCGACGCGUUUACCCGACUGGCCAUAGACGACACGACGAUCAAGAAGGUCGUCCCUGCCCGCAUCACCGCUCUCGCCGUUCACCCGUCGUCUUCGGUGACCGUCGUCUUUGCGGGGGACAAGCUUGGAAACUUUGGCUACUUCAAGAUGGGCGAAGGGGAGAGCCUGGUGCAAAGCUACAGUCCCCACACGUCCGGUCUCAUGUGCCUCAAGGUCAACAAAAACCAGCCUCAGCGCGUCUUCUCCGCAAGCUACGACGACACCGUCCGCUGUCUCGACGUCGAACGCGGGAUUUUCGACGAGGUGUACCGUUCCCUAGAUGAGAAUGGAGUCUUGUGCCUGGACUGGGGACUGCACAAUUCUCUGAUCGUGGGCCACAGCGACGGCGCCGUGUCCUUGGUUGACCCCAGGACACGCGAGACAAGCUCGUGCACGCUGCACAGCAGGAAAGUCCGGACGGUGAAUGUUCAUCCGGUGCAUGAGUGGUGCUUCUUGACCGGCAGCACGGACGGGACGGCCAAACUGUGGGACGUGCGGAACCUCAAGGAGACUCGGAGCAAAAAGGCGGCAGAGGCCAUCGCCACCAUGGCUCAUCACCGCUCGUGCUCCGCGGCCUUUUUCUCGCCGCUUACGGGCAACCAGAUCCUCACCACUUCUUUCGACGACACCCUCAAGGUUUUCGACAGUUCUGAGCUGACAAGCGAGGUCAAGUUGAAGGUGUCGCUCAAGCACAACAACAUGACGGGGCGCUGGCUGACGCCGUUCAAGGCCGUCUGGAUGCCCGGAUGCGAGGACCUCUUCCUCGUCGGGAGCAUGGAGUACCCGCGCCGUGUGGAGGUGUUCUCGUCUGCUGGGACCCUGCAACACACGCUGAAGGGAGACAGCCUGACGUCCAUCUGUUCGCUCGUGGACGUUCAUCCCGACCGCUUCGUCGUCGCCGGCGGGAACUCAAGCGGAAGGGUGCACGUGUUCGUCGAAGCGUAGCAAGUUUCUCCUCGUUAUGCACAACGAAGUUUGCUUUGCAUUCCGGUUAGCGUUCCAAAGGCUCGUUCGCACAUUUGCGUCUGAGCAUGCUUGAGUACGUUGUGUUCGGUUGUAAUCGUUUGUGACGAAAGAUUUAACAGCGCCAUCUGUUAGAUGGCCCUGGAAACUUUUCGAUCAAUGUAUAAAGUUUCAUCAUUUUUUCCACAUCAUUCUCCUGCUGCGGGCUUGAAAUGAUUGUGACGACAUUAUAAGUGGCUGUUUCUCGUGUAUGGUGCAUGGAUUUUAUCCUGCAAAGCCCAUAGUCUAGUUAUAUCCUGUUCCAGGGCUACCCAAGUGAUGGCACCAGUUUGCCAGUGUGAUAUCUCAUUUUAAGAGAAUGCAACGCACUCGAAUACCAACAAACGCAAACGUGCAAAACAGCCUUAACUUUUCGUCAUUUUGUAUAGCCAUUUUAUGCAUAGACUUGUUGGUUUUACUUGGUUUGGAUUUGUGCCGUGCUCCUGAAGUGUCGAGAGGAUAGCUAUCUGAAGAAUUUUAAUGAGGGAUUUUAUGUAUAGCAGUUUCUUUUUUUUUACUCUUACAAUGGCAAGAUAGCUGUGUGUCGUUUUUUUUUUUUAACUUGCUUUUGUUUGCACUAAGGUUUCAAACUUGAAUACCGACAAACGCAAACGUGCGAAACAGCCUUAACUUUUCGUCAUUUUGUAUAGCCAUUUUAUGCAUAGACUUGUUGGUUUUACUUGGUUUGGAUUUGUGCCGUGCUCCUGAAGUGUCGAGAGGAUAGCUAUCUGAAGAAUUUUAAUGAGGGAUUUUAUGUAUAGCAGUUUCUUUUUUUUUUUACUCUUACAAUGGCAAGAUAGCUGUGUGUCGUUUUUUUUUUUUUUUAACUUGCUUUUGUUUGCACUAAGGUUUCAACCUUGAAUACCGACAAACGCAAACGUGCGAAACAGCCUUAACUUUUCGUCAUUUUGUAUAGCCAUUUUAUGCAUAGACUUGUUAGUUUUACUUGGUUUGGAUUUGUGCCGUGCUCCUGAAGUGUCGAGAGGAUAGCUAUCUGAAGAAUUUUAAUGAGGGAUUUUAUGUAUAGCAGUUUUUUUUUUUUUACUCUUACAAUGGCAAGAUAGCUGUGUGUCGUUUUUUUUUUUUUUUAACUUGCUUUUGUUUGCACUAAGGUUUCAACCUUGAAUACCGACAAACGCAAACGUGCGAAACAGCCUUAACUUUUCGUCAUUUUGUAUAGCCAUUUUAUGCAUAGACUUGUUGGUUUUACUUGGUUUGGAUUUGUGCCAUGCUCCUGAAGUUGCAAGAGGAUAGCUAUCUGAAGAAUUUUAAUGAGGGAUUUUAUGUAUAGCAGUUUCUUUUUUUUUACUCUUACAAUGGCAAGAUAGCUGUGUGUCUAUGUUUCUUUUUUUUAACUUGCUUUUGUUUGCACUAAGGUUGCAACCUUUUCAUGGUAGUGCUGUGAGUCUAUGAAACGUGUCUCUCUCUAGGUUUCGCUCCUUGAAGUAAUGCUUUCUGCAAUACAGCAUUUGCAAUUUCUUCAAUUAAACGAGUCAGUUACUACCAGCCCUGUCGAUCAGUAACCUUUGCAGUGGACCUAAUAAAUGGCCCGUCAGAUCCAGCCUUCACGUUUCAAAAACCUCGAGAUUUUGCCCUGGAUGGUUAUUUCGUGAAACUACCCAAAGUAUGUUUGAAAAGCGUGUUAAGCUGUUUUAUAGCUUUCCAAGUUUGUGAAGGCUCUUUUUGUGCAUAUGCAAGUGUCUUCCAGUGGUUCAUGUUUGUACAUGUGCUCCAGUAAAUACCGGCAGCAUUAUUGGGGA
rnacentral:misc_RNA from 1 species